rnacentral:tRNA from 2 species
GCCGCCGUAACGUAGCCUGGAAGCGUACAGGCCUGUGGAGCCUGGAGGCCGGGUUCAAAUCCCGGCGGCGGCC